rnacentral:rRNA from 1 species
GAUGAACGCUAGCGGCAGGCUUAACACAUGCAAGUCGAGGGGCAGCGCGAGGUAGCAAUACUUUGGCGGCGACCGGCGAAAGGGUGAGUAACGCGUGAGCAACAUGCCCGUAAGUGGAGGAUAGUCGAUGGAAACGUCGCGUAAUACUCCGUAACAACAGUAUUCGCAUGGGUAUUGUUUAAUAGAUUUAUCGCUUACGGAUUGGCUCGCGUGCCAUUAGCUAGUUGGCGGGGUAACGGCCCACCAAGGCUACGACGGGUACCCGGCCUGAGAGGGCGGACGGGCACAUUGGGACUGAGAUACGGCCCAGACUCC